AGUGAACGCUGGCGGCAGGCCUAACACAUGCAAGUCGAGCGGAUGAAGGGAGCUUGCUCCUGGAUUCAGCGGCGGACGGGUGAGUAAGGCCGAGGAAUCUGCCUGGUAGUGUGGGAUAACGUCCGGAAACGGGCGCUAAUACCGCAUUCGUCCUUAGGGAGAACGGGUGGGAUCUUCGGACCUCACGCUAUCAGAUGAUCCUAGGUCGGAUUAGCUAGUUGGUGGGGUAAAGGCCUACCAAGGCGACGAUCCGUAACUGGUCUGAGAGGAUGAUCAGUCACACUGGAACUGAGACACGGUCCAGACUCCUACGGGAGGCAGCAGUGGGGAAUAUUGGACAAUGGGCGCAAGCCUGAUCCAGCCAUGCCGCGUGUGUGAAGAAGGUCUUCGGAUUGUAAAGCACUUUAAGUUGGGAGGAAGAGCAGUAAGUUAAUACCCUGCUGCUUUGACGUUACCAACAGAAUAAGCACCGGCUAACUUCGUG
rnacentral:rRNA from 1 species